rnacentral:rRNA from 1 species
AACGAACGCUGGCGGCAGGCUUAACACAUGCAAGUCGAGCGCCCCGCAAGGGGAGCGGCAGACGGGUGAGUAACGCGUGGGAAUCUACCCAUCUCUAGGGGAUAACACAGAGAAAUUUGUGCUAAUACCCUAUACGUCCUCCGGGAGAAAGAUUUAUCGGGGAUGGAUGAGCCCGCGUUGGAUUAGCUAGUUGGUGGGGUAAUGGCCUACCAAGGCGACGAUCCAUAGCUGGUCUGAGAGGAUGACCAGCCACACUGGGACUGAGACACGGCCCAGACUCCUACGGGAGGCAGCAGUGGGGAAUAUUGGACAAUGGGCGCAAGCCUGAUCCAGCCAUGCCGCGUGAGUGAUGACGGCCUUAGGGUUGUAAAGCUCUUUCACCCACGACGAUAAUGACGGUAGUGGGAGAAGAAGCCCCGGCUAACUUCGUGCCAGCCGCCGCCGUAAAAC